CAGGAAGCCCAGCCGGUCCCUCCUCUCAAUCCUUGAAGCAGGAGCUUACAGUGACACAAGUCAGCACUAGUUAUUAUGGGAGAAGACUACAUAAAAAGUCAUGAAUACCAACAGGGUACAGUGAUUUGGAGUCACCUGAUGCUCCUGGACUUCUGUUCGUGACACCUGAAGCUGAUUCUCCCUGCACUAAAGCUAACAGACAGGAUGGCACUAUGGAGAGAAGAGGAUUCCACUGGGGUAGAGUUCUAAGAAGGCUGCAGUGAUUUUCUAGGGUAAAAUGAAAGUGAAGCAACAGAAGCACCCCAAGACGAUGGGGCCAUAAGGGAACUAUGGAAACUGCUAAAGUACAACCUCGGGUUCCUCCUCCUGGACUCAACUCCCUUCUCCAGCAGUCCUCACAUACAGCAUAGAUCCAACCAUGGAGCUGGGCAGAAAAGGAUCCCCAUGAUCAGCCACCUCUCUGCCUCCUUCCUGGCAUUCUUUGGCGGCAUGGUCAGCACAUGUUUGCCUUCAUGUUCCAAAACCCUAGUCAAUUUUCCAGGAAGAAACAGAAUGCAAUUUAUUGCAGUGGCAGUCGUCAGGGACAAGGAUGUAUGUCUAAUUUUCUCUUUGACUUGGAGAACACUUCAGUUCCAUGGUGUCACGUUUCUCAUGCAGUCACCUCUGAGUCCAAUAGCUAGGAAUGCAAGGCAAAUUGUUUGCCAUCAACCAUUUAACUGGGAUGAUAUAUAACCAUUUUUUUAAGUGGGAGGAAGAAUUAUAUUUUCUAUUUGAAGAUGGCAAGAUCUACUUUUCAAAAGUCUUUACAUGUAAGUGAAUUAGCUGCUGUAGUUUUAAAGAAGUAGAACAUCUGGGAAACAAGUUUUAUUGCUUAAACAUGUGGUGCUUCCCUACUGGAGAAAAACUACAUUACCAAGUGAAACAGCAGAAAAGUUACAGUGUAUUUAGGAUUAGAAAUAAAGAAAUAUAAAAGCAAUAUAUUGAAUUCAAGUGAAACUAGAGACUGUUUACUAUUUAAAACAGUGAAGGUUUUAUUACCAAGUAUUACAUAUUGGCAAAUAAUAGAAAUACAGAAUGUGGUGUGGAAGGUGGUUGCUAUCACACUUCAACACAUGCCAAAAAAGCUUUGUGUUGCACUUUGACCAUCUCCAAUACAUAUUUAUAGGGAACAGCAUCCCUCUGGCUUAGCCACUGGUAUUCACUGAUGACAGGGGCUUUGAACAGAGCAGACAAACUGAGGAAAGCACUACUUUGAUCAUGAAGUAAUUAGACAACAGCAGAGUAAGGUGUUGCUUCUUAAAAGAAAUCAAUAAUAAAAUGAAUUGGGAAUAAAACCAAAUGGACCGCAUUGAAAAUGGCCAACUGUAGGCCAGGUCUAUUCAGCCACACAGGCAUCCAAGGCAACUGCCUGAAUGUGGGACAGCAUGAAAUGGGAGGAGACCAUGCGGCCAGCAGGAGAAGCAGCCUUUUCCAGUCUGGCUGCACGCAGGCACAGCUAGCCUAGUGGAUGGGGCUACAGAAUCAUUCAGCCAGUCCAAUUCAGGACAGGAGUGUGCACGUCUCUUUUAAAGACAAAGAACCAUUUCUCUUUCUGAUAAAGUUUUGAACGGCCAUGGGUACACAUACCUCUCAACUAAUUGGUCAAAGGCCAGGGAACUGUUUCUUAGGGAAUCAUGCCCUUACCUACCACCCGGAGAUGUAUCUCCAGGCAGGGUGUCUUGCACUAGUGUUUGUUCCAUGAGUUUCCAGAGUGACAGACCAAGAUCUUCAAUGUUCAUCCACAGGUUGGAAAGAACAAGAGAUGAGUCAUUUUCCCAAAGCGAAGGGCAGGAAUCUGUGCCCAGAGUUAAAUAAAUCAAGACGAUGAGUCGAAUCAUGGAUAAAGAAUAGAGGUGCAGGAAGAUGGGGUAACAGAAAGGAGCAGCAGAACGAACCCAGAAAGGUGAACCGGGAAAAGAGAACGCUCUGGCCACACAGCAGCCACCUAGUCAUGUGAACAUCUUUCCUGCAGAGAAGAUCAUGCGUGUGUUGGAUUUCAAGCUCAAAUUAUAACCCAUGGGUAAAUGUCAUGCAUGGGCAGGUUUCAGCUCCCUGCAGGAAAGAAUUUCAUUAUAAUUAAAACUAUUUAAAAAUUGAAUGGAUUUUCUCAUGAGAUUAGGGAAAUACUUGACGUUCAAAGUAUUCAAAAAUAAGCUAGAAAGCACAAUGGAAUCUUCCAAGAAUUGUGUGAGUCCCAGAAUAUACAUACAUAUACACAUACAUACAUACACACACAUAUACACACACACAAAUGUGUGUGUAUAUGUGUGUGUAUGUUAUAUUACUUGUUGAUACAAAAUAAGGGUUUCCAGAGCUCUUUAUUGAUGGUGUUAGAGGUGUGGUGAUAAUCAAGAGUUACUGAGUGGAUACUUGGCCCUGGGAACCAGACACACCCAGCUGUAUGAGAACCCUUAGGGGAAUUUCUACACCAGAAACAACAGCAAGCAGAACUUGUAAAAUUUCACUGAGGCAUUGGCCUCAAAGCAUACAAUUAGAAGCCCAGAGGACAGAGAAUACAGCUAGCCAUGCAGGCCCCCUAAACUCAUUAGGCCUGAAGACUUGCCCCCAUGCAAGAGCCUACCCAUGCCUCUGCCUCUGCACUGUGGCCCAGAUGUGAGUGUUGGUGUCUCUUUAGUGCAUGGAGUGAAGAACUAGUAAGCUGUCAUAAUUCUGAUUAUACCACUAAGGAAAGGGGAGAGGCAGGUUACAUAGUGAUCAUUCAGCUUCCAGAAGGAAGAGAGAAGAGACAAAAAUCUUAUCCAAAGGCUGAACUUUUCUGUUUUUGUCAUCUUCCUUUUGAAAUAGAGAUAAGUUCAGAAAAAAACAAACAGUAAAAACAUAUUUAAGAUAGAAAUUUCAAUCCACCCCCUUCCCAUGUACUUGUACUCCAAUGGCAACUACCUCCACAUCCUUCUUUUC
rnacentral:lncRNA from 1 species